rnacentral:rRNA from 1 species
UACGUAGGGUGCAAGCGUUUGUCCGGAAUUAUUGGGCGUAAAGAGCUCGUAGGCGGUCUGUCGCGUCUGCUGUGAAAACCUAGGGCUUAACUCUGGGCGUGCAGUGGGUACGGGCAGGCUAGAGUGCGGUAGGGGAGACUGGAAUCCUGGUGUAGCGGUGAAAUGCGCAGAUAUCAGGAGGAACACCGGUGGCGAAGGCGGGUCUCUGGGCCGUAACUGACGCUGAGGAGCGAAAGCAUGGGGAGCGAACAGG